UAGAGUUUGAUCAUGGCUCAGGAUGAACGCUAGCGGCAGGCCUAACACAUGCAAGUCGAGGGGUAACAGGUAAGCUUGCUUUCGCUGACGACCGGCGCACGGGUGCGUAACGCGUAUGCAACCUACCUCAUACUGGAGAAUAGCCCCUGGAAACGGGGAUUAAUACUCCAUGGUAUCAUUCUUUCGCAUGUUAGAAUGAUUAAAGAAUUUCGGUAUGAGAUGGGCAUGCGUCCCAUUAGCUAGUUGGUGAGGUAACGGCUCACCAAGGCGACGAUGGGUAGGGGGCCUGAGAGGGUGGUCCCCCACACUGGUACUGAGACACGGACCAGACUCCUACGGGAGGCAGCAGUGAGGAAUAUUGGUCAAUGGAGGCAACUCUGAACCAGCCAUGCCGCGUGAAGGAUGACGGCCCUAUGGGUUGUAAACUUCUUUUGAAUAGGAAGAAACUUAUCUACGUGUAGAUAACUGACGGUACUAUUAGAAUAAGGAUCGGCUAACUCCGUGCCAGCAGCCGCGGUAAUACGGAGGAUCCAAGCGUUAUCCGGAUUCAUUGGGUUUAAAGGGUCCGUAGGCGGGUCUUUAAGUCAGUGGUGAAAGCCGACAGCUCAACUGUCGAACUGCCAUUGAUACUGGAGACCUUGAGUACAAAUGAAGUAGGCGGAAUGAGUCAUGUAGCGGUGAAAUGCAUAGAUAUGACUCA
rnacentral:rRNA from 1 species